AUGUCCAAUUCGGCAACAGUUCGGCUCCCCCCGGAGCCCCUCGCCUCUCCCCAUCCUCGCCUCUCCCUACCGGACAACCCCUCCUCCUCUCCUCACCUCUGCUCACAUACUCGUCUCUCUCCUGGUGUCCCUCUCUUGGUUUCUCCCUUCUCCUCCUCCACCCAGCCGGGUCUCUGGCCCCUGGUCUCGCCCCUCUGGUCUCUCCCUCCUGGUGUCCCCCUCUUGAUUAUCCCCUCCUGGUCUCUCCCUCCUGAUCUCCCCCUCCCUGUCUCUCUCUCCUGCUCUCCCCGAUCCUGCGCUCCCCAUCCCUGUCUCUCUCUCCUGGUGCCCCCCCCCCCCGCUGUCCCCCUCCAUAUCUCCCCGUCCCUGUCUCUCUCUCUCCCGAUCUCCCGCUUCUUGCCUCUCCCUCCGUCUCCCCAUCCCUGUCUCUCUCUCUCUCUCUCUCCCGAUCUCCCCCUUCUUGUCUCUCCCUCCCGGUCUCCCCAUCCCCGUCCCUCUCUCUCCCGAUCUCUUCCUUCUUGUCUCUCCCUCCCGGUCUCCCCGUCCCUGUCUCUCUCUCUCCCAAUCUCUUCCUUCUUGUCUCUCCCUCCCGGUCUCCCCGUCCCUGUCUCUCUCUCUCCCACUCUUCCCCUUCUUGUCUCUCCCUCCCGGUCUCCCCCUCCCUCUCCCUGUCUCUCUCUCCUGGUGUCUCCCUCCUGGUGUCUCCCUCCUGAUCUCCCCCUCCCUGUCUCUCUCUCCUGCUCUCCCCCAUCCUGCUCUCCCCGUCCCUGCCUCUCUCUCCUGCUGUCCCCACCCACCCUUGGUGUCCCCCUCCCUGUCUCUCUUCUCUCUCUCCUGAUCUCCUCCUUCUGCUCUCCCCCAUCCUGCUCUCCCCGUCCCUGCCUCUCUCUCCUGCUGUCCCCACCCACCCUUGGUGUCCCCCUCCCUGUCUCUCUUCUCUCUCUCCUGAUCUCCUCCUUCUGCUCUCCCCCAUCCUGCUCUCCCCGUCCCUGCCUCUCUCUCCUGCUGUCCCCACCCACCCUUGGUGUCCCCCUCCCUGUCUCUCUUCUCUCUCUCCUGAUCUCCUCCUUCUGCUCUCCCCCAUCCUGCUCUCCCCGUCCCUGCCUCUCUCUCCUGCUGUCCCCACCCACCCUUGGUGUCCCCCUCCCUGUCUCUCUUCUCUCUCUCCUGAUCUCCUCCUUCUGCUCUCCCCCAUCCUGCUCUCCCCGUCCCUGCCUCUCUCUCCUGCUGUCCCCACCCACCCUUGGUGUCCCCCUCCCUGUCUCUCUUCUCUCUCUCCUGAUCUCCUCCUUCUGCUCUCCCCCAUCCUGCUGUCCCCCUUCCCGGUCUGCCCCCUCCCCCGGUCCCCCCUCCUAUCCUCUCCCUGCCCGCCCCCUCCUCCCUCCCUCCCUCCCUCCCUCUCUCCCCGGCGGAGGGUUUCGGAUGUCCCAACCCCGCUUGACCCCCCCCGUCUCCCCGCCCCCCCCCCCCCUCCCCCCCCUCGCAAAUAAGGACUGA
rnacentral:lncRNA from 1 species